CGGCCAGUCGAGGUUUAAUGUCCGCCAUGUUGGCCGUGGCGUAUUGAGCGGAGCCGGAGCGGCGGAGGAGCGGAGCCAGCGCCCAGCCCAGCCGCACCAACCGGCGCCGCCGGGCCCCGUGUCGGAGCGCGCCCCGCCCCACCGGGGGAGCCCCGGUCCCUCCAUGAGAGCGCUCGGCGGGGUCCGGCUCUCAGCUCGGAGCGCUCUUGCUGUCGCCCCCCCCUCCCCAGCCGGAGCCGCCAUCGCCGCCUAACAUGAGCAAACUGUCGUUUCGGGCCCGGGCGCUGGACGCCUCCAAGCCGCUGCCCGUCUUCCGCUGCGAGGACCUGCCCGACUUGGCCGAAUAUGCCUCCAUUAACCGGGCCGUGCCGCAGAUGCCCACGGGCAUGGAGAAGGAAGAGGAGUCGGAACAUCAUCUCCAACGGGCUAUCUCGGCACAACAAGUAUAUGGAGAGAAGAGGGAUAACAUGGUUAUACCGGUUCCAGAAGCAGAAAGUAAUAUUGCGUACUAUGAAUCUAUAUAUCCCGGAGAAUUUAAAAUGCCAAAGCAGCUGAUUCACAUACAGCCUUUUAGUUUGGAUGCUGAGCAGCCGGAUUAUGACAUGGAUUCGGAAGAUGAGAUCUUUGUGAAUAAGUUGAAGAAAAGAAUGGACAUCUCUCCUUUGCAAUUUGAGGAGAUGAUAGACAGGCUAGAAAAGGGCAGCGGUCAGCAGCCAGUCAGCCUGCAAGAGGCCAAGCUGUUGCUGAAGGAAGAUGAUGAAUUGAUCAGAGAAGUGUAUGAGUACUGGAUUAAAAAGAGGAAGAACUGUCGAGGUCCUUCUCUUAUCCCGUCAGUGAAACAGGAGAAGCGAGAUGGUUCCAGCACAAAUGACCCUUACGUUGCUUUUAGAAGACGAACAGAAAAGAUGCAGACACGAAAAAAUCGAAAAAAUGACGAAGCUUCUUAUGAGAAGAUGCUUAAGCUGCGUCGAGAUCUGAGUCGUGCAGUCACCAUCCUGGAGAUGAUAAAGAGGAGGGAAAAAAGCAAGAGAGAAUUGCUACAUUUAACACUGGAAAUUAUGGAAAAGAGGUAUAACUUGGGUGACUACAGUGGAGAGAUCGUGUCUGAGGUCAUGGCACAGCGGCAGCCAAUUAAACCUACCUAUGCUAUUCCCAUCAUUCCUGUGACUAACAGCAGUCCUUUUAAACACCAGGAAGCUAUGGAAUUGAAGGAAUAUAAAGUUAAACAAGAUAAACCUGAUGUUAUUAGACCCAAAAGAAAGUAUGAGAAGAAGCCAAAAGUCUUACCUUCAUCUGCUGCUGCUACUCCUCAACAGACAAGUCCUGCUGCACUGCCAGUCUUUAAUGCUAAAGAUCUGAAUCAGUAUGAUUUUCCUAGCUCAGAUGAAGAACCUCUCUCCCAGGUAUUGUCUGGUUCUUCGGAGGCUGAGGAAGAAAAUGACCCCGAUGGGCCUUUUGCCUUCCGUAGGAAAGCUGGCUGUCAAUACUAUGCUCCUCAUUUAGACCAACCUGGCAACUGGCCGUGGAGUAGCCCUAAAGAGGGAAGAUUAGGAGAUGUGCGUUACAGAUACUGCUUGACCACCCUCACUGUACCCCAGAGGUGUGUUGGGUUUGCACGAAGGCGGGUCGGCCGUGGUGGAAGGGUGGUAUUAGACAGAGCGCAUUCGGACUACGAUAAUACAUUUCAUCAGCUGGAUUUGGAAAUGUUUUCCUCAUCACAACACUCUUCUUCAAUCAGUCAAUUUGCCAAUACCUCAGAAACAAAUACCUCGGACAAAUCUUUCUCGAAAGACCUCAGUCAGAUACUAGUCAAUAUCAAAUCAUGUAGAUGGCGGCAUUUUAGGCCUCGGACACCAUCCCUACAUGACAGUGACAAUGACGAACUCUCCUGUAGGAAAUUACACAGGGGUAUAAAUCGAACAGGCACAGCACAACCCGGGACCCAGACAUGCAGUACCUCUAUACAAAGUAAAAGUAGCAGUGGUUCAGCACAUCUUGAAAGUGACACAUCUUUGGGCCUGGUGCAUCAAAUACUAAAUCACACUGAUGGCUCUAAGUCUCUCCAAUCUUCUGAAUUCACUGCAUUUACAGCCGAACAAUACCAGCAACAUCAACAGCAACUGGCACUAAUGCAGAAACAGCAGCUUGCACAAAUUCAUCAACAGCAAGCAAAUAGUAAUUCCUCUGCCAACACAUCACAGAACCUUGAAACUAACCAACAGGAAAGUGGCUUUCGCCUGAAUCUACAUCAUAGCCAUUCUGUAAAGUGUUUAGAAGGGACACUGCAGGGUUUUGUUUCCAAGACACUGGAUUCUGUUAGUGCUCAAUUUGCUGCUUCAGCUUUGGUAACAUCAGAACAGCUGAUGGGAUUCAAAAUGAAGGAUGAUGUGGUGCUUGGAAUUGGGGUGAAUGGCAUUCUUCAAGCCUCAGGAGUGUACAAGGGCUUACACCUCAGUAGUACUACACCUACAGCACUUGUCCAUACAAGUUCAUCAUCAAC